rnacentral:rRNA from 1 species
GACGAACGCUGGCGGCGUGGAUUAGGCAUGCAAGUCGAACGGUAUCAUCCUUUCGGGGGUGAGAGAGUGGCGAACUGGUGAGUAACACGUAGGUUAUCUACCCUCAAGACGGGGACAACCCAGGGAAACUUGGGCUAAUACCGGAUGUGAGCAACUUUUAGUUGUUUGAAAGGUGGCGUAAGCUGUCGCUUGGGGAUGAGCCUGCGUCCUAUUAGUUAGUUGGUGAGGUAACGGCUCACCUAGGCAAUGAUAGGUAGGCGGCCUUAACGGGUGUCGCCCACACUGGGAUUGAGAUACGGCCCAGACUCCUACGGGAGGCAGCAGUCGAGAAUAGUCUACAAUGGUCGGAAGACUGAUAGUGCGACGCCGCGUGAACGAUGAAUCCCUUCGGGGUGUAAAGUUCUUUUAUAUGUGAGCAGUGCUUCUUAUAUUAACAGUAUGGGGAGAGAGAUAUUAGCAUAUGAAUAAGCAACGGCUAACUCCGUGCCAGCAGCCGCGGU